UUUUGUUGCCAAGCCUUCAGGGAAUACUUCAUACCCAAGCCACACACUUGACAAAAGCUAUUCCAGUGCCGAGGGCUCCAUCUACCUUGGCCAAAGUCCAGACCUCUUUGUGGCCGGUGUCAUCAGUAAGUCAGCCAUGUCUUCUUGGAUCUGAGUUGUCCUUCUACAAUGUGUAAGCUCAGGACUCUUCCCAUCAAGACUGGGCAAAAACAGAAAACUGAGUGGACUUCCAAGCCCUCAGGAUCCACUGUUGAGAACAAGAAAAGGAAAAUAUGUAAGGCCUCUUCCCUACUGUCUGUGCAAUGCCUUUGGGUGGCUUGACAAUGACCAAACUGCAAACACAGCCACUGGACCCAGAGUUUGUGCAAUAUGCAGCUGCUUUGCAUAAAUAAAUACUUGUA
rnacentral:lncRNA from 1 species